GAGAUAUAAAGAUUCUCACAAUAACUUGAUCAAUUUCCUGACAAGUACCUUGCAGGUGGCACUGCAACUGAAUGAUACUCACCCCUCCCUCGCAAUUCCUGAGCUUAUGAGGGUUCUUAUUGAUGAACUUCUCAAAUGGAAAGAGGCGUGGGACAUCGCAUGCAAAGUCUUUUCCUUCACUGCCCACACAGUAGCUCUAGAAGGAUUAGAAAAAAAUCCCAGUUAAGCUGCUAAGUAACCUUCUUCCACGAUAUUUGCAAGUGAGUUCCAAAUAAGUUUCUUAAGUUGUUUUAAUUGUAAACUAACAUAUUCUCUGUGUUUUGUAGGAAAUUAUUCAAGUGGGAGUAGAAGAUAACCUACAUGAUGGUCAAGAUUAGCUUACAUUACUUUAUAGUUGUAGACAAUUUUGCAAGUGAUAUUAACACUAUGAAAUUGCAAGUGAUGUAAACACUAUGAAAGUAUGGUAUAAAUUUGUGUAGUUUGGCUGUGAAA